CAGUACGGCGAGUGAAGCGGCAACAGCUCAAAUUUGAAAUCUGGUCCUUUCAGGCCCCGAGUUGUAAUUUGUAGAGGAUGUUUCGGGCGCGGCGCGGGUCUAAGUCCUUUGGAACAGGGCGUCAUAGAGGGUGAGAAUCCCGUAUGUGACCUGUGAUCAAGCCCAUGUGAAACCCCUUCGACGAGUCGAGUUGUUUGGGAAUGCAGCUCAAAAUGGGUGGUAAAUUUCAUCUAAAGCUAAAUACCGGCCAGAGACCGAUAGCGCACAAGUAGAGUGAUCGAAAGAUGAAAAGCACUUUGGAAAGAGAGUCAAAAAGUACGUGAAAUUGUUGAAAGGGAAGCGCUUGCAACCAGACCUGUCCGCGGACGAUCAGCCCCCGUUCUCGGGGGUGCACUCGUUCGUGAUCAGGCCAGCAUCGGUUUGGGCGGCCGGAUAAAGGCCCUGGGAAUGUAGCUCCUUCCGGGGAGUGUUAUAGCCCUGGGUGCAAUGCGGCCAGCCCGGACCGAGGACCGCGCCUUCGGGCUAGGAUGCUGGCGUAAUGGUUGUAAGCGACCCGUCUUGAAACACGGACCAAGGAGUCUAACAUCUAUGCAAGUGUUUGGGUGUCAAACCCAUGCGCGGAAUGAAAGUGAACGGAGGUGAGAACCCUCAAGGGCGCAUCAUCGACCGAUCCAGAUGUCUUCGGAUGGAUUUGAGUAUGAGCAUAGCUGUUGGGACCCGAAAGAUGGUGAACUAUGCCUGAUAGGGUGAAGCCAGAGGAAACUCUGGUGGAGGCUCGCAGCGGUUCUGACGUGCAAAUCGAUCGUCAAAUUUGGGUACGAAAGACUAAUCGAACCAUCCUCGUGGCUUUACGCUACUGGUGGUUAAUCAGAGUAGAUAUGCUUCUACUCUCAGUCCUUUAGGGCAACAUCACUACUUGCAUGAACCUCCAAAAGCCUUUUCGCUUUUGGGAGCAAUAUGCUGCAGAGACUCCCCUAUGGGAAAUCUGUUCACAGACCAAAUAGUGGUGGCCGAGGCUAAUAGAGCUUCGGUUUAGAAAUGGCCGAGUCCUCCUCCUCUUAAGGAGUUGGUUUCUGAGACAUGUUAAGGCGGGAUUUUAUCCCAGGUCAAAUUUUAAUUGGCAUAAAAGAGGGCCCCCCCUAUAGGUGGGGGUGCCAGCCGCAAAUACUUGUCUUGGAAGCUCAGUAUCAACGCUAGUAGCUGGUUCCUGCCGAAGUUUCCCUCAGGAUAGCAGUAACGUUUUCAGUUUUAUGAGGUAAAGCGAAUGAUUAGAGGCCUUGGGGUUGAAACAACCUUAACCUAUUCUCAAACUUUAAAUAUGUAAGAAGUCCUUGUUACUUAGUUGAACGUGGAC
rnacentral:rRNA from 1 species